rnacentral:lncRNA from 1 species
GAUCCAAGCGUUUUCGAAAGCUUUGAAAUCACUUUUUUGUUUUUGCGACGCUAGGACCCAUCUUAUUAGAGACCUGUCGUAAUAAAGUGGUCUAUUAUUAUUAUUAUCUAGCGUCGUAAUCAAAAAUUCCGUAAUAAAUAAUACUCUCAAGUUGCUCAAGUAAAUAUAAUGGGUUUUAUCAAAACGAAACAACACAAUUAAAUACGCAUACAGAAAGACUAAUAAGAGUUAACGUAUUAGUAUAAAAUUGUAAACAAAAUUAGCAUAAAGUAAUAUAAUCGAAGUACAUAGUGCUAUUUUUAAUCUGGAUAGUCAUAAAUGAAAUCCUGAUUCAACAAUUACACUGAGGCAUGGCUGUACCUGCUGAUGAAUCAUUUGAAGACUUUUUUAAUUGUGAAACUCUUAGUGACCGCAUUCUUUAUAUAGUUGAAGUAGAGGAGUGUCCAAACUCUUACAGCAACCACAAAUCAAGUCAUAGUGAAUUAUUUAGAAAA